UACAUGGUGUCUACCCUGUCUGCCUCUGUCC
rnacentral:piRNA from 1 species